CCAGAAUCCAAUCAUUAGUGUCUUUGGGUGAUUUGGAAAAUGACAGUCUGCUUAUGAACAGAGCUCCCUGGAUCCUCAACAGUAAGGCUGACCUCCCUGUGUGACCUGCCCACCCAACUCCUGGAGCUGUACCAACAGGGCUUCUCUCUGGCAGCCAUGCACCCCUUUGUGCAGCCCACCCAUGGACAGGAGAAGACACCCCUGGAGCAUAUCUUUAGGGCCAUCCUCAUCAAGAAAACCGACAGAUCUGCAACUUGGGCAGGACUUGGCAGAGGCACCUAAUCUCCAUUUCUCAUGGUAUCAACUGGUAGUUUGGUGGUAGCUAGGGGAUCUGCUUUCAAGAUGAAACACUCACAUGGCUGGCAAGUUGGUGUUUACUGUAGGCCUCUCCACAGACUGCUAUUCCUCAAAACAUGGCAACUGAGUUCUAAGAGCAAACAUCACAAGAGAAGAAGGGAAAAGUUCAUGGAAUGUUGAUGACUAUCCUGUGGAAGUCACAUAAUGGUCUUUUUCAGCUACUCAUUGGUUGAGGCCAUCAUAAAGACCUAUAGUGGUUCAAGUAGAGGGGACAUGGGUUCCAACUCUUGAUGGAGGAAUGGCAAAGUUCUAGCAGACCAUGUGGAACAAGAGAUAUUGUUGUG
rnacentral:lncRNA from 10 species